CAAAAACGAGCAUGACU
rnacentral:sRNA from 1 species